rnacentral:tRNA from 1 species
AAGUAGUGAAGUAAUAAUUACACUUAGUUUCGGCCUAAGAAUCAAGGAUCCUCCUCUUACUUU